GGCGCACGGGUGAGUAACGCGUGGAUAAUCUACCUUUUAGUUUGGAAUAACGUACCGAAAGGUGCGCUAAUACCGGAUGAUACUGCACAACUACUGUUGUGUCGUCAAAGAAGGCUUCUGUUUACAUGCUUUGCUGAAAGAUGAGUCCGCGUACCAUUAGCUAGUUGGUAGGGUAAUGGCCUACCAAGGCUACGAUGGUUAGCUGGUCUGAGAGGAUGAUCAGCCACACUGGAACUGAGACACGGUCCAGACUCCUACGGGAGGCAGCAGUGAGGAAUAUUGCGCAAUGGGGGCAACCCUGACGCAGCAACGCCGCGUGAGUGAGGAAGGUUUUCGGACCGUAAAGCUCUGUCGAGCGGGAAGAAAAUGCAUGGUGGCUAAUAUCCCAUCAUGCUUGACGGUACCGCUAAAGGAAGCACCGGCUAACUCCGUGCCAGCAGCCGCGGUAAUACGGGGGGUGCAAGCGUUGUUCGGAAUUAUUGGGCGUAAAGAGCGUGUAGGCGGCUGAAUAAGUCAGAUGUGAAAUCCCUGGGCUUAACCCAGGACGUGCAUUUGAAACUAUUCAGCUUGAGUAGGGGAGAGGAAAGUGGAAUUCCUGGUGUAGAGGUGAAAUUCGUAGAUAUCGGGAGGAACGCCGGUGGCGAAGGCGACUUUCUGGCCCUAUACUGACGCUGAGACGCGAGAGCGUGGGUAGCGAACGGGAUUAGAUACCCUGGUAGUCCACG
rnacentral:rRNA from 1 species